rnacentral:rRNA from 1 species
AACGAACGCUGGCGGCAUGCCUAACACAUGCAAGUCGAACGAUGGUCUUCGGAUCAUAGUGGCGCACGGGUGCGUAACGCGUGGGAAUCUGCCCUUGGGUUCGGAAUAACAGUUGGAAACGACUGCUAAUACCGGAUGAUGUCGAUAAGACCAAAGAUUUAUCGCCCGAGGAUGAGCCCGCGUCGGAUUAGCUAGUUGGUGGGGUAAAGGCCUACCAAGGCGACGAUCCGUAGCUGGUCUGAGAGGAUGAUCAGCCACACUGGGACUGAGACACGGCCCAGACUCCUACGGGAGGCAGCAGUGGGGAAUAUUGGGCAAUGGGCGCAAGCCUGAUCCAGCAAUGCCGCGUGAGUGAUGAAGGCCUUAGGGUUGUAAAGCUCUUUUACCCGGGAAGAUAAUGACUGUACCGGGAGAAUAAGCCCCGGCUAACUCCGUG